rnacentral:rRNA from 1 species
GUCAAGCCUGCCCUGUGACUAUAUGUUUAACGGCCGCGGUAUUUUAACCGCGCAAAGGUAGCGCAAUCACUUGUCUUUUAAAUGAAGACCCGUAUGAAUGGCAUCACGAGGGCUUAACUGUCUCCCCCUUCCGGUCAAUGAAAUUGAUCUCCCCGUGCAGAAGCGGGGAUUCUUUCAUAAGACGAGAAGACCCUAUGGAGCUUUAGACGCCCAAGGAAGUCCACGUCAAUAAAACCCCGCCACGGGCUCAAACUAAUGUAUUCUUCCUCUUGUCUUCGGUUGGGGCGACCGCGGAGAAAAGUAAAACCCCCCGCGCAGAAUGGGAGUACCCCUCCCUGAAGCGAGACCCACAGCUCAACCCGCCAGUAUUUCUGGCUAUUAGAGAUCCGGCACUGCCGAUCUACGGACCUAGUUACCCUAGGGAUAACAGCGCAAUCCCCUUCUAGAGUUCAUAUCGACAAGGGGGUUUACGACCUCGAUGUUGGAUCAGGACAUCCUAAUGGUGCAGCCGCUAUUAAGGGUCCGUUUGUUCAACG